AAAACUAGCCAGAUCCAUGGGUAUGAAACCCAUUUGAGCGAGAGUAGUACUAGGAUGGGUGACCUCCUCGGAAGUCCUCGUGAAAGGGUUUC
rnacentral:rRNA from 3 species